ACACUGGGAUCAGAGAACUGUUCUCAGUAAAGCUCUCAGCAAAACCAUCUUAAAGUGUCUACCAAAUAUCAACAAACUCAGGUUUACCCCUCUACAACAUCAGAGAGGAUCCCCUGAAAGACUGAAGACAGAAGAGAAAGCAGUCCUACUAGAUUUGUGUCUACAAGCAGCACUAGAUCACAGAGAAACAUUCCAGAGAACUGUGAACACACUGCUGUCACUGUUCUCUGUGUAUCAAACUGAGAGAUAUGACAUCCUGCUGGAUCUGUACUCUCAUGUGAAGUAUAAUAGGAAUCAAACAGCCAGGAGUAUCCUUCCAUCCUUGAAGCCACUUUACCAGUCAGCUUAUGCAGUCUGGUCCAUAGACCUCUCAGAGAGAAAGGCCUCCCUCCUCCUAGAAGUGUUGAAACUCCAACUAGAGAAGAAACCAGUAGAGCUGAAGGACUGGUCAGAUGAAAAGAGUGAAGUGAGGAGUUUCCUUCAGUGUCUGCCCUACAUCUCACAGCUGAGAUUUCUUCCACUGAAGGAUAACAUAAAGAGGAGAAAGAGAGA